AGAUGGAGGGGCCAAGUGGAGGUCACCUUCUACUGCCAUCAGCUAGGCCCCUAGUGGGUUCCCGCACCUGAGUUGGCACAGGUGACAGGCUGGGCCUCUCCUGAGUAGGGAGAGGGUGUGGUGGCAGGGGGCAGGAGCACAGAAAUUCCAGGGGUUUUUUGGGGGUGACUUCCUCUGUUAGUUGGGGGUAGGGAAGGCUAGCUAACAGCAGCUUUCAGAGAAGGUUUGUUUUAUGUCUUUAAGUCCCAGAUCCCUUAGAGGCGAAUCGAGGAUGGAACAGGAAGCUCAGCGAAAUCCUCAGAAGGUCCCAGGGCAAAACACCUUGCUUAGCAUAUCCAGAGUCCAUCUGUCCUCCUCCAAAGGGACUCCCUUCAGCCAGGGCCACGGGAAAAGAAAGCAGACAGCAAGCAGGCAGGUGGUCCCACCAGGCCCCUGGCGGAGAGCAGCCCACCUCUCCUGCUGGACCGACUCCACCUCUGCCUCCAGGGGCAGAGGCACAGGAGAGGGAAGCAGUGCGGGUGGAGGACGGAGAACCUGAGAAGGCUUGUCUCCAGCGAAGCGGAGCGAGCUUGAAGCGUCCCCUGCAGAGACGCGGCCAAUAGCCGCCCAUCCGCUCUGCAUCUCCCAGGGGGGCCCCAAGGGAGAAGGACUUGCUGGCCUUGUCUGGCCUUGGUGCCAGAUUGGGCCCCUGGAUGCUGAGUCUGGGCCAAAACUGCCUCCAGGGGUAUGGGGGGAGGGUGACAGCCUGUAGCUGGCUUCUCCUGGGCUGCCAGCAGUUUGGCUUCGGCAGAGGCCCUGGCUGGGGUCAGCCCUUGGGCCCUGGAGCUGUAUAUAACGCGCCUUUGCUCCAACCAGUCCAGGCGCUGAGCUGAAACCUGAGAACUCAGGGUGCAGGCCAAGGAGCCACGGGGACGGCGGUCCACGGAAAGAACUGCUGAUCCCAGGGAUCGCGGAUAUCGAGCUGAUCCAAGAGGCACUGAGGACCCCCAAGGCGCAAACCCCUGGUGCCUACCGCUUUGGCCGGCUCAGCCACCACUCCUUCUUCUCCCGACACCACCCCCACCCCCAGCACGUGACCCACAUCCAAGAUCUCACCGGGAAGCCGGUCUGCAUCGUCCGGGACGGGUUCCCUCUGGGUGCCUCGCCUCAAGCCACACUCUUAUCCCGCUAUCUGAUGGGGAUGCCCGCCAUCUCUGUCCCCAUUGGAGACCCGCAGUCCAAUCGGGAUCCCCGGCUUUCUUCUGAGACCUGGAAGAAGGAGUUGAAAGACCUGGCUUCCCGUGUGGCCAUCUUCACCAAGGAGAAUGAGCUGAAGAGCAAGGAGGUGGGUGCAGCACAAAGGCAUGGUCCGGAAAGGGAUGAAAUGCAUCCGCCCCUUUGUAACGAAAUCCCACCCACGCUCAGGUUCAACCUCAACAGCAGUGGCACAAAAGCAAGAGUGCUGCUAUAGACACAGGGAAGGGGCCCACAAAUGCAACCAAAGGGAGGGGAUACAGAACAGACCUUGAUGGAGAAAUCCACCAAGGGUUCAGAGUUUAGAAGUGGAAGAGGGGAGGCAUUCCUAGUGGAGGCACACGGCACGAACACUCAGAAGCUGGAGAAUGCAGGGCAUCUUUAGAGACCAGAGGGCUACAGUCCAGGAUAUAAGUGGGCAGCAGUCAGGGAGAAGGCAGGAGGGGGUCACCUUGGAUGUGGGCAAGAUCAGCUUGUUGCUCAUUUCUGAACUUAGUUCCUAAUCUGAGAAGGGGGUGGCGGGUCACUGAUGGUUUUCAGACAACAUGGGGGCGGCCUCCCAUGUACUAUUUGCUGAUAAACCAGUAAAGACAAGUGGGAGGCUGCUUGAAGGUAGUUGAACUGGUCCUAGGACAGGCCCAGCCCUGGUUCUCAUCCCUGUUUUGCAGCUAACUCAGCUAAACUGUCUGGGUCUCAGUUUUCUGAUCUUUAAAAUGGGGACAAGGAUACUACCAGUCUUAACUGGAGUUGCCCGGGCAGGAGGUCCUAAGCCUUGUGCCCACAGACCUGGCUCAGGAAAGUGUCCCAGGGCAGAGAAAGGGUGCCAAGAUGUGGGGGACUGACCUGGGGACAAGUGAGCUAAGAGUUAAGGUGGGUAGUGGGGGCCUUGGUGCAGGAGACUGUUUUCAAAUUUAGAUGGGCUGGGUGGAGGGGUCUGAGCGAGGGCUUGCCCAGGAGGAGGUACAAGGACCACCCAAGGACCAUGGGGGGCAGCCAGCAUUCAGUGAAGUUCCAGGAGGAAGAGCAAUGGCUACAAUGGAAGGGCACCCCCUGCUGGCGAGGGGAGUCUAGGACAGGGUGGGCAUGUCCCUGGUGGACAUACAAAUCCUAAUCAACUUCUCCCCUCUGCUUUCUCCUCUUUCUCCCCCCCUCUCUCUUGCUGCUUGGAGUCUCUGGCUGCUUUUUUUCCCAGCAGAAGGAGGAGCCUCAGCGGGAGCAGGGGGCAAAGUACUCAGCAGAGACCGGUAGGCUCAUUCCUGCUUCCACCCAGGCCAUGACCCGCCGCCACUCCCGCCAGGGCCUGCGAAGCCAGCCCAGGAGCAGAGAUGGAGGAAUCCAGGCCUUCAUCCUACAGGAUCAGGAGUUGCUGAUCCUGGAGCUCCUCUCUCAAAUCCUGCAGACAGACUCCCUGAAUGCUAUCCAGUUUUGGCUCCUCUACGCUCCCCCCAAGGAGAAAGACAUGGCGCUGGGGCUCCUGCAGACGGCGGUGGCUCAGCUUCUACCCCAGCCUCUGGUCUCCAUCCCAGAAGAAAAACUCCUGAACCAGCUUCAGGAAAUUCAAGAACCAUCUCAAGAGAGCAACAGCUACCUUACAGCCAAUCCCCGAAGAAGACGAAGACACCACCUCUAACAAAAAGCGAAAAACCAGAGAACAUUGGGAAAGCACAAGUUCUUCGCCUGCACUCGAGCCCGAACCCAGCAGAGAAGGGGUCAAAGGCAAAGGCAGAGGGCUGAGGAGUUCGCGCCACUUUGCCCACCUUUCUCAGGAGAAGCCCCUGAGUCCGAAGAGUCAGCCCCCACCUCCUCAACAGCCCUAUCGGUUUUCCUACCACGUGGAGCCUAUUAAAAGACUGUCUUCCCCUUAAGAGGACAGUUCUGCUCUCCUAGCAGUGGGA